rnacentral:rRNA from 1 species
UACGUAGGGUCCAAGCGUUAUCCGGAAUUAUUGGGCGUAAAGAGCUCGUAGGCGGUCUGUCGCGUCGGCUGUGAAAACUCGGGGCUCAACUCCGAGCUUGCAGUCGAUACGGGCAGGCUAGAGUUCGGCAGGGGAGACUGGAAUUCCUGGUGUAGCGGUGAAAUGCGCAGAUAUCAGGAGGAACACCGGUGGCGAAGGCGGGUCUCUGGGCCGAUACUGACGCUGAGGAGCGAAAGCGUGGGGAGCUAACAGG